GGCGCGAUAGCCAAGUGGUAAGGCGGUUCUCUGCAAAAGAACUAUACGGCGGUUCGAUUCCGCCUCGCGCCU
rnacentral:tRNA from 1 species